AAACAGCCCCCUAUGUUUUGAUUUUUUGGCAGUUUUGGACCCCCAAGGCAAAAAAAAAAAAAAAAAAAAAUUGACACGUGGCACCUCACUUAGGGUGCCACGUCAGCGUUGACCGAGUCAACAAUGGACUAGGGGUCCAAAACUGCCAAAGAAUCAAAACAUAUGGGGCUGUUU
rfam:Medicago truncatula strain A17 chromosome 3, whole genome shotgun sequence.